AUUGAACGCUGGCGGCAGGCCUAACACAUGCAAGUCGAGCGGAGCGGCGGACGGGUGAGUAAUGCCUAGGAGUCUGCUUGGUCGUGGGGGACACCGUCCGGAAACGGGCGUUAAUACCGCAAACUAACAGUUGAGCCUAGGUCGGUUUAACUAGUUGGUGGGGUACAGGCCUACCUAGGCGACGAUCCGUAACUGGUCUGCGGGGAUGACCAGUCACCCUGGAACGGAGACACGGUCCACACUCCGACGGGGGGCAGCAGUGGGGAAUAUUGCACAAGGGGCGAAAGCCUAAUCUAGCAAUACCGCGUGUGUGAAGAAGGUCUUCGGAUUGUAAAGCACUGUAAGUUGGGAGGCGUUACCAUCAGAAUAAGCACCGGCUAACUACGUGCCAGCAGCCGCGGUAAUAC
rnacentral:rRNA from 1 species